rnacentral:rRNA from 1 species
UACAGAGGUCCCAAGCGUUACUGAGAAUCACUGGGUUUAAAGGGUGCGUAGGUGGUCCGUUAAGUCAGUUGUGAAAUCCCCGGGCUCAACCCGGGAAAUGCUUCUGAUACUGGCGGACUUGAGGCCAGUAGGGGUCACUAGAACUGACGGUGGAGCGGUGAAAUGCGUAGAUAUCGUCAGGAAUGCCGGUGGUGAAGACGGGUGACUGGGCUGGUCUGACACUGAGGCACGAAAGCGUGGGGAGCAAACAGG